rnacentral:rRNA from 1 species
UACGUAGGGGGCAAGCGUUACUCGGAAUCACUGGGCGUAAAGCGUGCGUAGGCGGUUGGUUAAGUCUGCUGUGAAAGCCCUGGGCUCAACCUGGGAACUGCAGUGGAUACUGGCCAGCUAGAGUGUGAUAGAGGAUGGUGGAAUUCCCGGUGUAGCGGUGAAAUGCGUAGAGAUCGGGAGGAACACCAGUGGCGAAGGCGGCCAUCUGGAUCAACACUGACGCUGAGGCACGAAAGCGUGGGGAGCAAACAGG